rnacentral:rRNA from 1 species
UACGUAGGGGGCAAGCGUUGUCCGGAAUCAUUGGGCGUAAAGCGCGUGUAGGCGGUUUCGUAAGUCUGCUGUGAGAGUCGGAGGCUCAACCUUCGAAAGCCGGUGGAUACUGUGAGACUUGAGCACGGAAGAGGAGAGUGGAAUUCCUGGUGUAGCGGUGAAAUGCGCAGAUAUCAGGAGGAACACCAACGGCGAAGGCAGCUCUCUGGGACGUUACUGACGCUGAGACGCGAAAGCGUGGGGAGCAAACAGG